rnacentral:misc_RNA from 1 species
AAGACCUCCUACGAAACGUUCGUUGCCGAGUCGCAGAAGAUCGGCGAACUCUACACCGAUCUUGCCAAGCAGGCUUUCAAGCCUUUCGAAGGCAUCGUCGCGAAGGUUUCGCAGACCACUCACUAAUUUUACGGUUCUCUACCAAGAGAAAAGCCCGGCUUCGCAGCCGGGCUUUUUUAUUGUCUCGAUCUGUUUUGCUUACUUCGCGAUACGCAGUUUCGAGAGCGCCGUGC